rnacentral:rRNA from 1 species
UAUCACGGGAGACACACGGCGGGUGCUAACGUCCGUCGUGAAGAGGGAAACAACCCAGACCGCCAGCUAAGGUCCCAAAGUCAUGGUUAAGUGGGAAACGAUGUGGGAAGGCCCAGACAGCCAGGAUGUUGGCUUAGAAGCAGCCAUCAUUUAAAGAAAGCGUAAUAGCUCACUGGUCGAGUCGGCCUGCGCGGAAGAUGUAACGGGGCUAAACCAUGCACCGAAGCUGCGGCAGCGACGCUUAUGCGUUGUUGGGUAGGGGAGCGUUCUGUAAGCCUGUGAAGGUGUACUGUGAGGUAUGCUGGAGGUAUCAGAAGUGCGAAUGCUGACAUAAGUAACGAUAAAGCGGGUGAAAAGCCCGCUCGCCGGAAGACCAAGGGUUCCUGUCCAACGUUAAUCGGGGCAGGGUGAGUCGACCCCUAAGGCGAGGCCGAAAGGCGUAGUCGAUGGGAAACAGGUUAAUAUUCCUGUACUUGGUGUUACUGCGAAGGGGGGACGGAGAAGGCUAUGUUGGCCGGGCGACGGUUGUCCCGGUUUAAGCGUGUAGGCUGGUUUUCCAGGCAAAUCCGGAAAAUCAAGGCUGAGGCGUGAUGACGAGGCACUACGGUGCUGAAGCAACAAAUGCCCUGCUUCCAGGAAAAGCCUCUAAGCAUCAGGUAACAUCAAAUCGUACCCCAAACCGACACAGGUGGUCAGGUAGAGAAUACCAAGGCGCUUGAGAGAACUCGGGUGAAGGAACUAGGCAAAAUGGUGCCGUAACUUCGGGAGAAGG